GUACUUGUAUGAAAAAUUUGUGCACGACAGUGAUUUCACAAGGAAAUUCUCCUUCUUGUCCGCCAUCGCAUAUCCUUGAUGUUAAUUGAAGCAGAACAAGAAUUGGUCAAAGAAUACAUGGUUAAGGAAUUCAUGAAAUAUAAAGAUGAGCACAAGUUAUUUAUUCUACCGUUUUAUAUACAUAUGUCUGGAUAAGAUUUUCCUUGAAACUUUGUUUUUGAUUAUUUUUUUCUCACUUUUUAUCACCGUUUAUAGAAGAUUUUCUAACUUGAACAUUUGUGUAGUGGACAUUGGGUGUUAUUUGUCAUUGAUCUCAUAUCGGAAAUCAUAUAUUAUCUGAAUCCAUUACUCAAUGACUAUAUGAAUUACCCAAAAAUGACGACUAUGUUUCACACGUAAGUGUGUGUGUGGUAUAUAUAUAUUUUUAUCUUGCAUAUUUAUUUUUUCGCAGACUUUAGAAUGUAUAUAUAGGCUAAAUGUAAAUCAUUCAUGUGUGCGUGUGUGGGUGUAUGCUUUAUUUUUAUGCUUCAUAGUUUAGUUGUAAAUAUAAUUCAAUGUGAAUAACCGAAAACCACAAAAAAACAUUUUUUUUUACAAUAAACCUUAAUUCAAAAAUCAAGUGAUCCUUUUUUUAUUUUUUCUUAAUCAAAUGUUUAAUCAAUUUAAUCUUUACCAUGAGUCCAUUUUCUUUAAUAUUAAAAAACACAAACAAAUACUCAUUUGCAACUUUGGCUUUUCUUUCAUUCUAAAACCUUUUUCAAAACUAAUAAAAAACACAAAACAAAUCAAAAGUCAAUUUUUACCCGAAACUACGAGGUUUUGAUCCCUCAUGGGUACGUAGGCAAAGGACCAUGUCCUUCCAAAUCAUAAAUAAUGUAGAUAAAUUAGGUCUCUAUUUUAAUCACUUUAAAUUCUUUUUUUCAAAAGUAAGCAAGUUUAUAGCACGAAAAAUAAAUAAAAUCAAGAGGUUCUCGUAGAGUACUACGAACAUAAAGGGUGCUAAUACCUUCCCUUUAUGUAACCAACCCCCGAACCCAAAAUCUUUUCAACGUGGGGUGGUUUGAACUUUUUUCCCCUUUUCUAAAAAAUUAAAUGUUCAGUCGUGAAAUAAAAAGUGAGUCAAACACUAAUAUAAUAGCCCUGAUCUCCAAAAAAUGACGCGACAAGUAACAUGGUUAUAUUUUAUGUUAUAAUAUAUGGAGUACAUUGACGGUUUCAAAUGUUUGACAUAUUCUAAAGAUAAAUUAAUAGAAAUCCAAGAAAAAUGGUGUUAGUUCAUGAUCAGUCUAAGAGUUAUAUGUUAUUUUUUUGAUAAGGCGAGCUUCAUGUUUCUAAAUAUAUUUGCUAGAAGUGGUAGUGCCUUUAAUCUACAUUAUAAUCUUGCAUUAAUUUGUUAUGAAUAGUGCUGGAAUAAAGAUAGAUAUAUAUAUAUAUAUAUAUAUAUAUAUAUAUAUAUAUAUAUAUAUAUAUAUAUAUAAAGAAGAAUAAGAUGUGUGAGUUGAUAUAUAUUAAGAUGAGUAUUAGCCAUUGAUCCAAGUGUUUGGUUUGCUAUUUGAAAAAUGAAAUAGUAUUUGGUUGUUUCACUUGUUUUGUUUUCUUUAUUUGUUAAGUGAAUAAAUGUUUGGACUACGUAUUCUCGGCAUUUGUACAUGAGUACUUAUUGCUUAAAAUAGUGUUGAUGCUUAUUGCUUAAUGUGUUUUCUGCUAUAUAUGUAGGUGGAGGAGAGUUAACGAAAUUUGGAAAUGAAUAAUGAUCUACCUGCUUGUUAUGGAUAAAAAUGUUGAGACGACCAAGAAGAUAGAUGAAGACUGCAUGCUACCACAAAAGAUUUUGGUCUUUAUGUUAAUUAAUUAGUUGUAACUUAGAGAUAUCCAUGAUUUGUAGCUUCGUUUGUUAGUGGCUACAUUUCAGAUUUUUAUGCUAUAUAUACAUACAUUUUAUGAUAUGUUUAAGUUUUAUUUCACAAAUAAUAGUCUCAAUUAUAAUGUGUCAUAUUUCUCUUAGAUAAAUUAUAUAUAUAUAUAUAUAUAUAUAUAUAUAUAUAUAUUAAUUUAAAUUAAUAAAAACUCUAUUUGUAAAAAUAAAAUAUUAAAAUGCUUUUUCUAACGCUUAUUUAAAUAAAACGUUGUUUAAUCUACACAUUAUAGCAAUGCUUAAUGGAAUAAAGCGCUAUCUAAACCUAUUGUUACAAAGCUGUUUUUAGUAGCACAUAAAGAUAGAAGCGUUAUUUUAAACCUCCUUUAGAUGGCUUGUAUUUCUGUAAAUGCUAUCCAAGGACACCCUUUGAUAGCUAUUUUUAACAAAAAGAGCUAUAUAAACCCUGCUUUAGACAACACUUUAUAAAAAAAACAAGCACUAUAUUACAUUUACCAGCGCCAUUUACCAUAGCGCUUUUAAAGUGCUACAAAUGGUCCGAAAAAUCGCUAUCUAUGACCAUUUUUGGCAUAAUGUCUCCUCUCAUAUUAAUCCUCAUAUUACAUCAUUACUUUUCAAAACUCUAUUUCUUUUAGAAUAAUAUAAUAUUAAAUAAAAGUGCAUCAUCAUAAUCCUAAAUAAGACUCAACCUAUUUUAAUAUUAUUAAAUUAAUUGAUUAAAAAUUUGGGGUNAAUAAUAUAAUAUUAAAUAAAAGUGCAUCAUCAUAAUCCUAAAUAAGACUCAACCUAUUUUAAUAUUAUUAAAUUAAUUGAUUAAAAAUUUGGGGUAUGUACAUGUUCAUCUAGGGAGUCUUCUACAGUGCCUACCAAAUCCAUGUUUCUCUAAUCCGUCGGGUGAAUGGACCAUACGACGCACGAUCGUCAUCAAAAUAUGACAAAAACAAUUAGCGUCUUAUAUGCCUUAGGGAGUGGGGUUACCUUCUACUCGGAGAACUCCUAGGAGAUCUUAUUUUUGGAGAAUGUCUAGGAGAACUUAUGUUCAGAGAAUGUCAAGGGGACCUGGAUCUUGAUGGAAGGGUAUUCCUUCCCAUGCUGCUAAGAUGUGGGGAAGGAGGUCGAAAAAUUGAACGAGGAUAUGGUGAUCUCCUCAGUAAUCCUUGGAGUGGGGAUCCUUCAUUUAUUUGAUUUGUCGGUUCUGAUCCUUAAUCAUAUAAUUUUUGCGGUGUAGGGUUUGAAGGAUGUUGUUGAACAUGACAUCUACGGGAGAUGUGUUGCUUGCUUCCUUGUUUGGCCACGAGGGGACAAUUAGUGGAGCCUCUCGAAGGGAACUCGCCAUUGAUGGGACACGAUGGUGCACUCGUCAGUUGGUGAGGGAGUUAAUGUUUGACCGUCACGUUGUGGACGGUGGAUCUCACUCUUGGGAUGCUGCAACGUUGGCCAUCGUAAGAGUAGGUUCCUUUUAGGAAAUUUAUGAAGAUUUGGUCUUUUAAGUAGGAAAAUACGAUACCACUAAUUGUACCUUAUAAGAUGAUGACGUAUGAUGCAGUAGUCUUUGGCUGUUUGUGAGAUUUAAAACGACCAGGGGGGUGUACAUGCAAACACUCUUACGCUCAAGUAAGUUUAAGAUGGUUAGAGAUAGAAAUGGUAUCAUACCUUUGGGGAUUGUGUAAAGUCAUCUUCUAUAAAGGUGACGGGCAUGAGUCGUUGUAAGGCACAAUGAGGCAUCUGACGGUUACAAAUUUCCAGGAAUCGUUAUCGUCGAGCGAGAAUCGUGGGCAUGUUCUACAUUCAGUUUGAAUGUGUCUUACACCCUCCUCGCAGAGAGAGGGUGUGUGUCGGAAGUAAUCGACCAAAAUGCAAGAUUGGGCCUGUUUUGGUUAGGGCAUGUACAAAUAAGCAUUACACAACUGCUCAGUCCGGAACAUAUUUAAUAUAAAAAGAUCAAUAAAAAAUGAGGCAUGCUCUAAGGAAUCAAUUCUAAAUGACGUGAAAUCUUAGCAAUGUACAUUUAGUUGAACCUAAAUACAUGAAAACUAUCAUGCAAAUUCAAGCUUCGAACUUGAAGAAAUCCAUAAAAGAAUAAUGUAUUGUGAUUAGCAAAGCACAAUCACACACAUCUCGAUUGUUCGAUUAAGGAUGAUCCAAUUCUUAAAAAAAUUAUUAUUUAAUAUAAAACUAGAGUUCGUAAAGUAGACUGUCCAAAAUCAAGAUGUAGUGAUUGUGUGCAAUCAUAUAAUCGUGACUACACCUAAUCUUGAUGUAACAAUCAUAGCUUAUUACCCCAUCGCUUCCUUAAUAUAAGAAGAAAACCCAAAAAAUUUCAAAACUAAGGCAAUCAUUAAUUGUUGUAACUUUUUAAAUAUUUUUACAAAUAUACUAUUAUAAAAAAUCUUUUACGUAAUAAAUACACCAUAAAAGUUAUGACUUUUUUUAUAAAUAGAAUCAAUUUUUUUUUUUGAAAAAUUUCUUACUAGAGAGAGUAAUUUUGUUUAACAAUAAAGGUUAGUUGUUACUCAAAUGUGCACAAGUUGAUCCGAUAAUAACGUAAAAACAACUUACAAGACAUGAAGUCAAAUAUGUAUUUAAAAAGAUAAAAAUAUAAUUAACGUGUGCACAAAAAUAAUCUUGACGAAUGCCUUUUACCCUUUUGUGAUUUCAGUUGGACAUUUUUAUUACUAAAGUAUAAUAGAAUAUUUUUUUUGACAAAAACAUAAUAAUAUAAAUUGAUGACCCUGUUCAAAAAAAAUAUAAAUUGAUGACCUCAACGCAAAAUAUUCUUAGGUGUUUUUCUAUAAAUAGUUGUUUCACUCUUUCCAGUGUGUCAAUCAAAAUUUGAUCAAAAUAUGAGCUCUAAAUAUUCAUUAGUAUUACUUUUACUUGGAAUGAUAAUGCUCACCACUGUGAUUGGUGAAAGGAAUGAUAAUAAAUUUGAAUAUGAUCCUAUGUUAGAUCCAGAAGAUGAUUGGCCAGAGAUUUUUAAUGAACCGCUACCAUCCUACUAUAAAAUACCUAAAGAGGAGUCACCUGAUUAUGAGACAAACUUGUCAAAUGAAGCCAUCAACCACACCGUUUGAGCCAGUCCACAUUGCAAAAAUUCCUUACCAUUACAAGUGAUCGAAGUGGCAAAAGUGGGUCUAGUAAAAUAAUAAGAAAAAUUGUUUGUCAUAUGAAGUUUUCUUUUCUUUAUUUUUUUUUCUUCCUAUUUACCUCAAAAAUUCUAUUUUUCAAGUAGUGAAGUACAAUUUGCCCCUUUAUUUGAUUAAAGGCUCAAUAAACAUGUAUAUGUAUAAUAAUUACCUCUCAUUUUAGCAUAAAUAAUGUCAACUACUAAAAGUAUUAUCUAUGAUUACCACAAUAAUGCCAAUUUGGCUUGAUAUAUACUCCAUCUAUUUUUCCUCAGAAAAUAUACUCAAUCUAUUUCCAAUUUUAUUGUCAUUUUUAUAAUUUUUCUUUGUCUCAAUAUUUUUUUUAGAUUUUUCUUAAAAUAAUUGUCACUUUAUAAUAUCUAUGUCAUUUCCGGUUUUCGCCCCUAUAAAAUUUUCGGUUUGAUUUGCACUUUUGUAAAUUUUUUAUUUUCCGGAAAACACCCUUAAUAGGCCAUUCAAAAAUCAAAAUUUUUUGCAAAAAAAAUUCUGAAAAUGGCAUAUUAGGGUGUUUUCUGGAAAAUAAAAUUUUUACGAGGGUGCAAAUCAAACCGAAAAUUUUAUAGAGGUGAAAACCAAAAAUGACAUAUAUUACAGGGGUGAAAAACACUAUUAACCCUUAUUUUUUUCAUUGAUAAAUCUUUAUUUUUUGAAUUUCACCAAACUUAACUACUACAAUUAUUAAAAGUGUUUUGAUAUAUGAUACUACUUUUAUCAUUGAGAGCAAUGAGACAACCUAAAAACAACAAUUAAAAUGAGACAAAUGAUAAAAAUUAAAAUUUAUUGAUUAAACUUAUCCGACAUUCUGACUUUAAAAUUUAUUGAACCAUCACGAGUUUACAUAAGGUUGGAUCAACUCAAUGACCUGAACUUGAUCUGUUCGGUGAGAACGGUUGAGUCGCAACGGUUGUGAAGAAUGGUCCCAUGAUCGGUAACGACUUCCAGUGCGGUGGCGUAGCAUCUUAUGUGAUGGAACGAAAGGUGCCUGCAGACACGUUUGAAUUCCGACAAUCAAGUCAGUAAUGGAACUGAGAGAAAAGUUUUAGAAGUGUAGUGAAAAGUGUUGUGUACCUUGAGGGUAAAGCAAGUACACCCUUAUAUAGGCCCGCUCUUGGCAUGACCGUCUCCGGGUUAUGCGGCAUAUGAUUAAGAGCGGGAGUGGACAUGUGUAGCGUGAUCCCGACAGGGAAGCAUGGUCCAAUGUGGCAUGCCGCAGGCGAAUUGGCGUGCUCCUUUGAGUGCGAAGCCUUGAGACUGCGUAAUAUUGCACAUUUGUUGCCGUGUGAGUGGUCUAGAACUGAGCUAUUUUAUUUUUAAAUUCAUCUUUUUUUCAUGAUAGAGGGCUAAGUGAUUUGGUGUAGUUUCGGAGAAGAUCAUAUCUAUACUAUAUAUAAAGAAAACUACCUCUUUCAGCUCUUUUGGGUUGGAUUUUCUUUCCAAAAAUUCCCUCAAUUUUCAAUACAAAUAACACAUGUAACAAAUAGAUCAAAAUAAAUUUAAAUAUUAAAAUAAAAGUGUAACAAACAUAAAUGUUCAAUUUUUUACUUUAUCAUUUAAAAAGUGUAACAAACUAGAUGAGUGUAUCCAUACUUAUUUUUUCAUUAUCCCAAUUACAUUCCCUUAAACAACAACUUUUUCUAUUCUCUAAAAAAACAACUUUUUCUAUAAUAAAGAUUGUUGUUGGUUUCAUUAAAUAAAUACUCCAUCCGUUCCUUUUUAAGUGUCACUUUUGCAGAAAUUUUUUGUUCCUAUUUAACUGGCACUUUCAAAGUUCAAUGCAACAUUAAAUGUUGUUUUACCAAUAUUAUCCUUAGUUAUUUAUUGCGGAGAGAGAAAUAUAUGAAAUGAGAUAUUAAAUGAAUAAGAUCAUUAUAGUAAAAGUAUAGCUUAUUGCAUUAAAAGGAAUAUCAAUUGUUGAUUGUCUUGAUUUCGUAACUCGCGAAGCGUAUUACGAAAUGUGCAUCACAGGAUCCUGAGGAAUUGACCUAUGUUCAGUCUCGUAUUAACCCCCGUCACGCACUAUGAUAUCAUCCUUUAACGAUAUCAUCAACAUAUAUAUUAUAUCAUCAACAUAUAUAUGAACAAUUAAAAUUUCAUCCUUUAAUAAUUUUCAAAAGAGUGUGAUGUCAACUUGAUCUUGUGAAAACCGUUUUCUAAAAUAAUGUUACUAGGGUCUUUCAUACCAAGCUAUGGCAGCUUGUUCCAGAUUAUACAAUGAAAUCUUCAAACUCAGGAAGUUGUUUCAUACACUUCUUCAGAAAUGAUACCUAUAAAAUACGAACUUAUAAAAUCCACUUGAUAUAGAAUGAUAUCAUUAUUUACAACACAUGAUAAUAAUAGACUAAUUGCUUAUAAUUUUGCUACAUGUGCAAAUGUUUCAGCGAAAUCUAUCUCUUCUUGCUGACUAUUUCCUUGUACUACUAGUCUAGCUUUAAUUUUUACUAUAUCAUUUUGUUUAUUGAGCUUGUUUCUGAAAACCCACUUUAUGACAAUGACAUUAUUACCUUUUGAUCUUGGAACUAUUUCUCAAACAUCAUUUCACUUUGAUAAUUGUGCCCUACAAAAUUCCACUAGUCUUUUUAUGACUUCCGAUCAUAACAAGUAGUAUUUACUAUUUUUACAGAGGCUUUUGUGUCAGUUAUUUAGUUUGCUUGAUGCUUGUUUAAGAGUUAUUUUGAAUAAAUGGUUCUUAUGUUACAUAAGGUUUUUAAAAUUUUAUCUUCUUAAUUAACCUUAUAUUUUACCGUAUCCUCAUUGUGUUUAUUAGGUUUAGAGCUAAAAUAAUUUUUGUUUAAAAAAUAACAUGAACUCUAUGUGAUAUUUUAUUUUUUAAUGAUAUCUUGAGCUGUAGGUAACCAAAUGGAGUCAAACUAUUUCCGAAUGAAAUCUAACAUUAAUUGAUACAAGUUUUCAUAAAUAUACUAAAGUCGAAUUCGGCUUGUAAAAUGGUAAAAAAUGUAAAGGAUCUGAAUACAAAAAAGGAAACAAAGAAGAAGUGGAGAUUCAAUCCCCUCAUGUGUAAUUUUAUAUUUUCCUUUCUAAGUCUGAGUAGCUAACUUUUCUUCAGAUUGAAACUCUUGAUUAGUGAUGUCAAUUUUCUAGCAAGGGUUAGUUCGUUGGCAAGUAGUCAAAUAUAUAAAUUUCUUAACCUAAAGGUUUGCAAUACUUCAACUUGACUGCUACGAUUAUGAUUAAGAUAUGUAAGAGAUAUUAUGAUUAAGAUAUGUAGUUUGGGGGGGGGGGAUUAAAAGGCGACGAGGUCAUAUCAUAUUCCCUUGAUUGAUUGCUCAAUUUUAAGACAUCUGAUCGAAUUAGUCAGGCCAGUGUCUUGGUAACUAACACUCUUCAAUAGUUAUGACUCCCUAAUGUCUUAGGUUAGUCUAUAACCAUUGAAGGAUUAGUAAUGCCAAAUUAAGUACAUAAAUCAUUAUUAGAAAAUUUCUAAAGCUAAUAACAACUGAAUGAUUAAAUUAGGUCAAGCCAUUAACGUUAGGGUUAGUAACCACCAAGACCUAAAUCAAUUUAUAAACAUUUAUAAAUGCAUAAAAAAACAUUAAGGAUAAACUCAACCAAUAAAAUAACAAAGUAGACAACUGAAGUCAUAUGAUAAUGUAAAGUUACAAAAUCAAACGAUUACAGAGAAGUUCCUCUUUUAUGACCUAACCCCGAUAGAAUUAGUUACUCGUUAUUUCUAAACAUAAACUACUGCAUAUGAAUAAGAAAACAUGAGAAAAGGAUCACCAGUUGAUGAAUCCAUGGCUCUCAAAUGGAUCUGAUCGCUCCGAUAAUAUGCUAAAAUCGUGUUUCUGCCUUCAUAUUCUCAUCAAAAAGUGUUUUUUCACUGACCAAGGUGUUUGCCUUAUAUAGGUGCGUAUUUUCCUUAAAAUUAGUGAAAGUUGGCCCGCGAUGUUAGCAUAUAAAUUGCGAUGUUAGUUAAACAUAGAGUGAACACCUUGCAUGUCAUUCAUAUCUCACGAUGUGGAGGUUAUAGCCUGCAAUACGAGAUAGAUAGUGGCUGAAUCUUACAAAUUCCAUUUUGAUUCUACAAAUGACUUAAAACUUCUAUAUAAUUUCAUAUCAUCAAUGAUCCUCUUAGAAUCUAAUUGAGUUAUUUUAUUUAUGAGUUCUAGUUUAUGCAAUUGAUACCCAUGUACAUUCAAUAAUUCUUGUUAUUUAAUUGUGAUCUUACCAAUAUUGAAUUGAACCUAAGGUAUUUAAUUAUGGAUAAUUGGUUGUUUUGGUUGUUUGUAUGACUCUAUGUUUGUAAAGUAGUUCUUUUGGCACACCUUAUGCUAGAGGAGUUGCUUUUGGUGGUUAAUAUAUAUUCCAUUUUUGAUUGUUAAAAAAAAGUUAUUGUUCGCUAAGUAAUUGUCUUAGAGAUAUCAUAUCAUUUAGCUGUGACAAAAUUUAGUUGCCGAUCAUGCUUUUGAUGUUAGAUACGCGAGACCUGGCUUGAGUAAAAAAAAUUGGUUUUGCUAUAUUUUGCUAAAUUGUCGGAAACAUAAUCAAUUGUUACGGCUAGUACCACUAUUACCAAAUAGUAACAAAGAGGGGUUAUUGCCAUCAGUUGUUUCAUUUAAUUUACCUAAUUAAGUGGAACAUAAUUGCCAUGGUUUAGAACUGGGGUUAUUGCUUUAGGUUUUUCAAACGGUUUUUAAAGUCUCCUUAUUGGAGAUGCUUUCUCUAAGGUACAUUAGUUCGGCAUAAAACAUGAUGAAAUUCAUAAAACAUUAACGGAUAAGAUUAGUGUUGUGUAAUCAUUGAGACGAUCCAGAUUUUAAAACCUUACCUUUUAAUCCAAAAUUAGAUUUUAGAUAUGGAUCGUCCGAAACCGAGAUGUUAUAAUUGCGUGCAAUCAUAAGAUCAUGACAACACCUAACCCUAAUCUAAUAAACACCAAGAAUGAUAUAUAUAUAUAUAUAUAUAUAUAUAUAUAUAUAUAUAUAAUACCGUUUUUGCUUAUAAAUAGGAACCAAGGGAUAAGAUAUGGAUUUUUUUUUUUUUUGAGGGAGGAUAAGAUAUAGAGUUAAACAUGUAUAAAAUGGUAGAAAUGUGCACAAAAAUAAUCGCAACAAAUGCACACUACCCUUUUGUGACCUCAUUUGGACCAUUUUUAUUACUAAAGUAUAAAAUAUGAUAAAUAAUUUAAGUUGACGUGCUCAACAUUAAAUAUUCUCAAGGGUUUUCUUAUAAAUAGUUGUCUCACCCUUUCCAUUUGUGUGAAUUAAAAUCUAUAAAAACAUGGCCUCUAAAUACUCACAAGUAUUAUUACUUCUACUUGGAAUGAUGGUUCUUACUACUGUAGUGAGUUAUGGGCAUAAUAAAUUUGGGUAUGCGCCAAUGUUAGAUCUAGAGGAGGAUUGGCCAGACCAAUUCUUUCCACCACUUACCAUAAUUGAGGGUCGAAAGUCGCAUAGUUUUGGAUAUCCACCUAUAUUAGAUCCAGAAGAAGAUUGACCUAAUAACUAAUGAGAAAUCAUUUGUUUAUAAGCCAGUCCACAUUUCAAAGCUGUUGUAAGUACAAUUCUUUAUCAAAUGAGUGUUUUUUUCUUCCCACUUUUGUAUAAAACUCUAAUUUUUAAGAAGUGAUGUACUAUUUGAAUAAAGGCUCUAUAAAUAUUUCUAUGUAUAUUAUAUCUCAUUUCAGCAACAAUAAUGCCUAUUACUAGUGGUUUUACCUAUGAUUAAUAUUUUGUUAUUGUCUACAAUUUAAUUAUUCAUUAUGUGAUAACUAAUCAAUAAUAUUUUUUUUGUCAAAAAAUAAUCAAUAAUAUUUGAACAUUCAUCAUUUCAAUACACUCAUUCAACAAAAUAUUUUCUUUUUGUCUAUAUUUUACAAUCACAUCAUCGAUAUAUCACCAAAAUAUUAUAUUUAACUUAUCACAAUAUUUUUUUUUUCAAGAUAUCCUAGUAAGAACGGAUAUAUCCAAAAACAUUUUUUAUAUUAAAAACCCAAAGAAAAAGAUCAAUUAGAUAACAGCUGUACGUCACAUGUUCUAGAACUAUAAACAUAAAAAUAUUCAAAUUAGUUAUGUGUAUCUAGAACAAAAGAUCCAUCUCCUUUUCUUAGACCAUCGAUAAGAUAAUCCUACCGUGGAGUAGAAAAUUUGAGAUUAAAUUGUAACAUCCUGAUUUUUAAUAUUAACCUGUUAAUAUAAUUAUUGGAUAAUAUUAGUAUUAUUGUCAUUAUUAGUAUUGAUUGCUCGAUAUUAUGAAAUUAAAUUAUUCGUGAUUAUAGGUGAUGUUAUGAAUAAUGAGGAAGUAGAGGAGUUAACUAGUUGGUUAAAGAAUGAGAGAAAAUAAUUUUUUUGGAAGAAAAUAGUGUUUUUGGUAAGAAUAAGGAAGUAGAAUGCAAACAGAGAUGCAUUAGUAAAAUUGGAUAGAAAAGAGGUGGAAGUAGCAAAGUGAUGGACAAAAUUGGCAAGUACACCAAAUUAUAACAAGUAGUAAGUUGUAUCGUUCUUCACAAAGAUUGUCGUUCAACUCAAUAUAUAAUUUGCAAAACUUAUUUUAACACGGAAAAUAGUAAUGAUGGUUAGAAUUGCAGGGUUUAAUUGCCCGACCCAAUGCAAGAUUAGGUUUGUGUGAUUCAGAUGUGUAAUAGUGAUUAGGGAAUCCGUGAAUCCCAUCUUCCUUCUUUGUUGGAUCAAUUCAAAGUCCUUAUUAAUUAAGACCUAAAAACUACAUAAACAAAGAACAAUAAUGAACAAAGUACUCCCAUGAACAAUUAUGAAUAAAUAAGAAAUAAGUACUCCCAUGAACGAAUAAUUUCAGGUUGUCAAUCAUACUAAUCUUCUAUGAAUCAAUUUUUAGGAUUACCUAUACAUAUUUUCAAUUGAAAAAUAAUUACGAACAGACUAGUACAAAUUAAAUCGGACACCAGAAUAUAACUGAAUGAAAACUUUAUUAGUUGAAUCUAACAAAUAAGAAGGGGUUCAUAGUUGAACCCUAAUCAAGAGGUUUAUUUGCUCAUGGAAACAUACAUCAUAACAAAACAAAAUAAAAACAUACCCUAGGAAGAGUACAAGGAGGAGAAAUUCCUCCUUGAAUCUAUGAUGCUUGACCCUUGCUCUAAACCGUCAAUGUUUCUGAAUGAAUAAAAUAGUGUGCAAGGAUCUCUAUUUAUAACGUAAGGUUGCUUAGGAUUUAAUUCGAGAAAACUAGGAUUUUCUACCGAUCCAUGUAUGCCUGGGUCUUCUGGGUUUAUUUCUGAAGGAAUUUCCCUUCUUUAGUCCCAUGCACUUUGGGUUUUGUUGCUCAGAUUUGUUCAAGACCUUUGGAUUGGAGGAUAAUCUUGAAUACUCUUUGAACUAAAAUUUGAGUCCCGGCUGGCCAUGAAUCUGAAAGUCCUUUGUUUUGACUUAGUCAACACCUUGGAUCUUGACUCUCUUGUCUCUGAUGGGUUUCGAUUCUCUGCUUUUUCAGCAUUUGGAUUUGAGUAAAAGAGCAGACCCUUUUGAGUGCAAACAGAACAUGAUAAUUGUUUUGUCUUGACAAGAGUAUGUGUAUCCCUAACAGACGCACUUGUGAAGUCAAUUUCUCUCCCUUUUUUCUUACUAAUAUUGUGAGGGGUUAAUAGAUCUUUACCCCCCUGUAAUAUAUGUCAUUUCCGGGUUUCCCCCCUGUAAAAUUAUUUUUUUGAUUUACCCCCUUGUAAUUUUUUUUUGUUUUGAUUUACCCCCCUAAUAGGCCAAACAAAAACGAAAAUUUCUUGAAAAAAAAUAAAAUUAGUUUUUGUUUGGCCUAUUAGGGGGGUAAAACAAAACAAAAAAAAAAUUGCAGGGGGGUAAAUCAAAAAAAUAAUUUUACAGGGUGGAAAACCGGAAAUGACCUAUAUUACAGGGGGGUAAAAACCUAUUAACCCUAUUGUGAGAUAUGGAAGCUAAUCUACUUCUGUCAAAAUCAUAAUCACUAGAUUCUUCAGAUGAACUAUUGAAUUUAGUUGAAAGUAUGUCGAUUUCAUCUGGGGUUAAAAGUUGCCUUAGCAUGAGAUUUUGUCUUGAUAGAUAGUGAUUUUGGCGUCUCAAAGGUUUUAACUCUUCUGAUAAAAAAUUAAAUUGUUUUUGCAAGUCCUUUAAGGAUCUUGAUUUGUUCAGAUAGAGUCUUAGAAGCCUUCUGACAUAAGGAAUAUACCCAUUACAGAUUUGUUCAAAGAUUACCUCAUCAUCCUUAUCUGAAUAUGAGCUUGGUUCUUCACCAGAAGAUGUUUUAACUACUAAACCCAUAUUAGCUUCCUCUUUGUUGUCCUCAGAGUCUGUAUCUUCAUCAAGCAUCUUCCAGGUUUCCAUGAAGAUUUCCUUGAGCUUUCACUUGUAGGUUUCCCUAUGCUGAUUUUCCCUAAUGCGCCUCAGGGAAAUCAGCUAUGAAGUGACCAUUCUUUCCACAGUUGAAGCAUCCUUUUUUAUUAUCUCUUUUGUCUGUGAAGUGGGAUGUCUUUAAGUCACUGCUUCUGCUAAAUGCUAUCUAAGGACACCCUUUGAUAGCUAUUUUUAACAAAAAGUGCUAUAUAAACCCUGCUUUAGACAACAGUUUAUAAAGAAAACAAGCACUAUAUUACAUUUACCAGCGUCAUUUACCAUAGCGCUUUUAAAGUGCUAUAAAUGGUCCGAAAAAUCACUAUCUAUGACCAUUUUUUGCAUAAUGUCUCCUCUCAUAUUAAUCCUCAUAUUACAUCAUUACUUAUCAUAACUCUAUUUCUUUUAAAAUAAUAUAAUAUUAAAUAAAAGUGCAUCAUCAUAAUCCUAAAUAAGACUCAACCUAUUUUAAUAUUAUUAAAUUAAUUGAUUAAAAAUUUGGGGUUUGUACAUGUUCAUCUAGGGAGUCUUCUACAGUGCCUACCAAAUCCAUGUUUCUCUAAUCCGUCGGGUGAAUGGACCAUACGACGCACGAUCGUCAUCAAAAUAUGACAAAGACAAUUAGCGUCUUAUAUGCCUUGGGGAGUGGGGUUACCUUCUACUCGGAGAACUCCUAGGAGAUCUUAUUUUUGGAGAAUGUCUAGGAGAUCUUAUGUUCAGAGAAUGUCUAGGGGACCUGGAUCUUGAUGGAAGGGUAUUCCUUCCCAUGCUGCUAUGAUGUGGGGAAGGAGGUCGAAUAAUUGAACGAGGAUAUGGUGAUCUCCUCAGUAAUCCUUGGAGUGGGGAUCCUUCAUUUCUUUGAUUUGUCGGUUCUGAUCCUUAAUCAUAUAAUUUUUGCGGUGUAGGGUUUGAAGGAUGUUGUUGAACAUGACAUCUACGGGAGAUGUGUUGCUUGCUUCCUUGUUUGGCCGCGAGGGGACAAUUAGUGGAGCCUCUCGAAGGGAACUCGCCAUUGAUGGGACACGAUGGUGCACUCGUCAGUUGGUGAGGGAGUUAAUGUUUGACCGUCACGUUGUGGACGGUGGAUCUCACUCUUGGGAUGCUGCACCGUUGGCCAUCGUAAGAGUAGGUUCCUUUUAGGAAAUUUAUGAAGAUUUGGUCUUUUAAGUAGGAAAAUACGAUACCACUAAUUGUACCUUAUAAGAUGAUGACGUAUGAUGCAGUAGUCUUUGGCUGUUUGUGAGAUUUAAAACGACCAGGGGGGUGUACAUGCAAACACUCUUACGCUCAAGUAAGUUUAAGAUGGUUAGAGAUAGAAAUGGUAUCAUACCUUUGGGGAUUGUGUAAAGUCCUCUUAUAUAAAGGUGACGGGCAUGAGUCGUUGUAAGGCACAAUGAGGCAUCUGACGGUUACAAAUUUCCAGGAAUCGUUAUCGUCGAGCGAGAAUCGUGGGCAUGUUCUACAUUCAGUUUGAAUGUGUCUUACACCCUCCUCGCAGAGAGAGGGUGUGUGUCGGAAGUAAUCGACCCAAAUGCAAGAUUGGGCCUGUUUUGGUUCGGGCAUGUACAAAUAAGCAUUACACAACUGCUCAGUCCGGAACAUAUUUAAUAUAAAAAGAUCAAUAAAAAAUGAGGCAUGCUCUAAGGAAUCAAUUCUAAAUGACGUGAAAUCUUAGCAAUGUACAUUUAGUUGAACCUAAAUACAUGAAAACUAUCAUGCAAAUUCAAGCUUCGAACUUGAAGAAAUCCAUAAAAGAAUAAUGUAUUGUGAUUAGCAAAGCACAAUCACAUACAUCUCGAUUGUUCGAUCAAGGAUGAUCCAGUUCUUAAAAAAAAUUACUAUUUAAUAUAAAACUAGAGUUCGUAAAGUAGACUGCCCAAAACCAAGAUGUAGUGAUUGUGUGCAAUCAUAUAAUCGUGACUACACCUAAUCUUGAUGUAACAAUCAUAGCUUAUUACCCCAUCCCGUCCUUAAUAUAAGAAGAAAACCCAAAAAAUUUUAAAACUAAGACAAUCAUUAAUUGUUGUAACUUUUUAAAUAUUUUUACAAAUAUACAAUCAUAAUCUUUUACGUAAUAAAUACACCAUAAAAGUUAUGACUUUUUUUAUAAAUAGAAUCAAUUUUUUUUUGAAAAAUUUCAUACUGGAGGGAGAAAUUUUGUUUAACAAUAAAGGUUAGUUGUUACUCAAAUGUGCACAAGUUGAUCCGAUAAUAACGUGAAAACAACAUACAAGACAUGAAGUUAAAUAUGUAUUUAAAAAGAUAAAAAUAUAAUUAAUGUGUGCACAAAAAUAAUCCCGACGAAUGCCUUUUACCCUUUUGUGACUUCAGUUGGACAUUUUUAUUACUAAAGUAUAAUAGAUAAUUUUUUUGACAAAAGCAUAAUAAUAUAAAUUGAUGACCCUGUUCAAAAAAAAUAUAAAUUGAUGACCUCAACACAAAAUAUUCUUAGGUGUUUUCCUAUAAAUAGUUGUUUCACUCUUUCCAGUGUGUCAAUCAAAAUUCGAUCAAAAUAUGAGCUCUAAAUAUUCAUUAGUAUUACUUUUACUUGGAAUGAUAAUGCUUACCACUGUGAUUGGUGAAAGGAAUAAUAAUAAAUUUGAAUAUGAUCCUAUGUUAGAUCCAGAAGAUUAUUGGCCAGAGAUUUUUCAUGAACCACUACCAUCCCACUAUAAAAUACCUAAAGAGGAGUUACCUGAUUAUGAGACAAACUAGUCAAAUGAAGCCAUCAACCACACCGUUUGAGCCAGUCCACAUUGCAAAAAUUUCUUAUCAUUACAAGUGAUCGAAGUGGCAAAAGUGGGUCUAGUAAAAUAAUAAGAAUAAUUGUUUGUUAUAUGAAGUUUUCUUUUCUUUAUUUUUUUCUUCCUAUUUACCUUUAAAAUUCUAUUUUUUUAAGUAAUGAAGUACAAUUUGCCCCUUUAUUUGAUUAAAGGCUCAAUAAACAUGUAUAUGUAUAAUAAUUACCUCUUAUUUCAGCAUAAAUAAUGUCAACUACUAAAAAUUUUAUCUAUGAUUACAACAAUAAUGCCAAUUUGGUUUGAUAUAUACUCCAUCUAUUUUUCCUCAAAAAAUAUACUCAAUCUAUUUCCAAUUUAAUUGUCAUUUUUAUAAUUUUUCUUUGUCUCAAUAUGACUAAGAGCGGGAGUGGACAUGUGUAGCGUGAUCCCGACAGGGAGGCAUGCUCCAAUGUGGAACGACGCAGGCGAAUUGGCGUGCUCCUUUGAGUGCGAAGCCUUGAGGCUGCGUAAUAUUGCACAUUUGUAGCCGUGUGAGUGGUCUAGAACUGAGCUAUUUUAUUUUUAAAUUCAUCUUCUUUUUCAUGAUAGAGGGCUAAGUGAUUUGGUGUAGUUUCGGAGAAUAUCAUAUCUAUACUAUAUGUAAAGAAAACUACCCCUUUCAGCUCUUUUGGGUUGGAUUUUUCUUUGCGGAAAUGCUCUCAAUUUUCAAUACAAAUAACACAUGUAACAAAUAGAUAAGAAUAGAUUUAAAUAUUUAUACUAUAUAUAAAGAAAACUACCCCUUUUAGCUCUUUUGGGUUGAAUUUUUCUUUCCAAAAAUUCCCUCAAUUUUCAAUACAAAUAACACAUGUAACAAAUAUAUAAAAAUAAAUUUAAAUAUUAAAAUAAAAGUGUAACAAACAUAAAUGUUCAAUUUUUUACUUUAUCAUUUAAAAAGUGUAACAAACUAGAUGAGUGUAUCCAUACUUAUUUUUUCAUUAUCCCAAUUACAUGCCCU
rnacentral:lncRNA from 1 species